GAUGAACGCUGGCGGCGUGCUUAACACAUGCAAGUCCAACGGUGAAGGCGGAGCUUGCUCUGCUGGAUCAGUGGCGAACGGGUGAGUAACACGUGAGCAAUCUGCCCCUGACUCUGGGAUAAGCGCUGGAAACGGCGUCUAAUACUGGAUACGAGCUGCGAAGGCAUCUUCAGCAGCUGGAAAGAACUUCGGUCAGGGAUGAGCUCGCGGCCUAUCAGCUUGUUGGUGAGGUAACGGCUCACCAAGGCGUCGACGGGUAGCCGGCCUGAGAGGGUGACCGGCCACACUGGGACUGAGACACGGCCCAGACUCCUACGGGAGGCAGCAGUGGGGAAUAUUGCACAAUGGGCGAAAGCCUGAUGCAGCAACGCCGCGUGAGGGACGACGGCCUUCGGGUUGUAAACCUCUUUUAGCAGGGAAGAAGCGAAAGUGACGGUACCUGCAGAAAAAGCGCCGGCUAACUACGUG
rnacentral:rRNA from 1 species